AGCGGGGUGGAGCAGUCUGGAAGCUCGUGAGGCUCUUAACCUCAAGGUCGCAAGUUCAAAUCUUGCCCCCGCCA
rnacentral:tRNA from 1 species